rnacentral:rRNA from 1 species
UACGAAGGUGGCAAGCGUUACUCGGAUUGACUAGGCGUAAAGGGCAGGUAGGUGGUGUGGUAAGUCUGUUGUGAAAGCUCCUGGCUUAACCGGGAGAGGCCAACAGAUACUGCCGGACUAGAGUGUAGGAGAGGGUACUGGAAUUCCCGGUGUAGCGGUGAAAUGCGCAGAUAUCGGGAGGAACACCAAUGGCGAAAGCAAGUACCUGGACUACUACUGACACUCAGCUGCGAAAGCUAGGGGAGCAAAC